GCCGAGGCAGGCGCGGGCCCGGAGCGCGCUGGGAGCAGCGGCGCGCGCCCUGCUGGUCCCUCCCUUUGGCGAGCCGGCGAUCGUGCGGAGGUCAGCACCGAGGUCAGCUGUGCCAGGGCCCGGCGUGCCCUGGGGGCUGCACCGGGAGAACGCGGCGGCCGCGAGCCCGCGCCGGGAGGCGGAGGAGGAGCGCAGAGCUGCCAGCUCGGGCCUUGCGUUCUGCACGCCCCUGCCGGUGGCGGUCCGCGGCAGCCCAGGGUGCUGCCUACCCGGGCUCGGUUUAAAGGAAAAAGCAGAGAAGCACGGAGCAGCCUGGCUCUGGCAAGCGCGGGCGCACCCAGCUGACUCGUACAACUCACCACUUCAGGAGCGUCGCCUGCCUUGUUGACUGAAUGCCACCAGCCUGUGUGGUGUGUUCCCUCCAGACUGCCCGGCUCUGACUCAGGGCGGGACUUGAUGGAAAAGAAGUUUCUAAACAAGCAACACAGUUUCUCCAACUUAUUGGAGGAGCUGAAGUCAAGCAACAAAAACCAGCCACGGUUUUCUUGAAAUUGACAGUGUUAUUGAAACCUGGGAAGUGAACAAUUAGAAGACAA